rnacentral:rRNA from 1 species
UCGCGGCCUAUCAGCUUGUUGGUGGGGUAAUGGCUCACCAAGGCGACGACGGGUAGCCGGCCUGAGAGGGCGACCGGCCACACUGGGACUGAGACACGGCCCAGACUCCUACGGGAGGCAGCAGUGGGGAAUAUUGCACAAUGGGCGAAAGCCUGAUGCAGCGACGCCGCGUGAGGGAUGAAGGCCUUCGGGUUGUAAACCUCUUUCAGUAGGGAAGAAGCGCAAGUGACGGUACCUACAGAAGAAGCACCGGCUAACUACGUGCCAGCAGCCGCGGUAAUACGUAGGGUGCGAGCGUUGUCCGGAAUUAUUGGGCGUAAAGAGCUUGUAGGCGGUUUGUCGCGUCUGCCGUGAAAAUCCGGGGCUCAACUCCGGACUUGCGGUGGGUACGGGCAGACUAGAGUGUGGUAGGGGAGACUGGAAUUCCUGGUGUAGCGGUGAAAUGCGCAGAUAUCAGGAGGAACACCGAUGGCGAAGGCAGGUCUCUGGGCCACUACUGACGCUGAGAAGCGAAAGCAUGGGUAGCAAACAGGAUUAGAUACCCUGGUAGUCCAUGCCGUAAACGUUGGGCACUAGGUGUGGGGAGAACUCAACUCUCUCCGCGCCGUAGCUAACGCAUUAAGUGCCCCGCCUGGGGAGUACGG